UCCCUGGCAGUCUAGUGGUUAGGAUUUCGCACUUUCACUGCCAUGGCCCAGGUUCAAUCCCUGGUCAGGGAA